CCUACGGGUGGCUGCAGUCGAGGAUCUUCGGCAAUGGGCGCAAGCCUGACCGAGCGACGCCGCGUGAGCGAUGAAGGCCUUCGGGUCGUAAAGCUCUGUCGGGGGGGAGAAAGGGGCAACCUUGAUCGACCCCCGGAGGAAGCACGGGCUAAGUUCGUGCCAGCAGCCGCGGUAAGACGAACCGUGCGAACGUUAUUCGGAAUCACUGGGCUUAAAGGGCGCGUAGGCGGGCAUCAUAGUCAGGGGUGAAAUCCUCCGGCUCAACCGGAGAAGGG
rnacentral:rRNA from 1 species